GAAACAGAGAAAGAGCUCAGAAGAGUCGGUGUUUUCCUGCAGAAAGUUUGCGUAACUCUCACUUUGCUUCAUGUAGCAUUGCUCAGACGAUGCACGGACGCUCUUGGCCUUCUCCCGGAGGAUUGUGGGUAGAUUGCCGACGAUCCCGAGAAGAAGCGAGCGAAGUGAGACCCUUCAAACUUUCUUUGCCAUUCCUCAAUUCUGUUUUCCCCCAAACAAAGAUUUAUACAUAUUUAUAUGAGCCGAUUGACGGGAAGGUGGUCCGGAGGAGGGGAGCAGAAGCGGCGGAACUGCAGAGAAUCGUCCUUCAGCGACUGUCCCGCUCAGUUUGUUUGGAGUCGAACUGUCGCCCAUCUCACGCUUGACCUUGGGCACAGUGACACGGGCGAGUUCUGAAGCUUCGAUUUGACACGUCAAGAUGUUGCAGUAAUGCGAGAUAAUUUUGGGUUUUUUGCCCUCCUCGGAGCAAUCUGAAGUAAGGAAAUGUGGCAGAGUCCUUCUCCAGAGAUUACAGGUAAUACAGUCCAUUGCCCCCAUAAACAUGCUUGACACAAGGCCCUCAUGAUGGAGCGAUUGCUCCAGGAGAGACUUUUUCACACUUUAAUUUGCCUUAAAUGAACUAGAGAAGUCAGCGAGGGCUUUGAGAUGCUGCGCCGAGAGAGAGGCCGCGGUAAACUACCUCUG
rnacentral:lncRNA from 12 species